GUAUUACUCCCUCCGUCCCAAAAUAAGUGUCACAAUUUUGUCUAUGUAUGCAUGUAUGUAGACACGUUUCAUUGUAUAGAUUCGCUCAUUAAAAAAAAGGUUGCGACACUUAUUUUGGGCCGGAGGAAGUAUGAU
rnacentral:pre_miRNA from 1 species